UAUCCACGGCCAUAGG
rnacentral:rRNA from 1 species